GGGGAUUUAGCUCAGGGGUAGAGCGCUUGCUUCGCAUUCAUUCUUCUUGAGACCUUGCAUGAGGCCGUGGGUUCAAUUCCCACAAUCUCCA